rnacentral:rRNA from 1 species
GCGGCUUAAUUUGACUCAACACGGGAAAACUCACCAGGUCCAGACAUAGUAAGGAUUGACAGAUUGAGAGCUCUUUCAUGAUUCUAUGGGUGGUGGUGCAUGGCCGUUCUUAGUUGGUGGAGUGAUUUGUCUGGUUAAUUCCGAUAACGAACGAGACCUUAACCUGCUAAAUAGACUGACGAACCUUUGGUUGGUUUAGUCUUCUUAGAGGGACUAUCUGUGUUUAACAGAUGGAAGUUUGAGGCAAUAACAGGUCUGUGAUGCCCUUAGAUGUUCUGGGCCGCACGCGCGCUACACUGAUAAAGGCAGCGAGUAUCACCUUGACCGGAAGGUCUGGGUAAUCUUCUGAAACUUUAUCGUGAUGGGGAUAGAGCAUUGCAAUUAUUGCUCUUGAACGAGGAAUUCCUAGUAAGUGCGAGUCAUCAGCUCGCGUUGAUUACGUCCCUGCCCUUUGUACACACCGCCCGUCGAUACUACCGAUUGAAUGGCUUAGUGAGACCUUUGGAUGAGGCUUCAUGGCCGCAAGGCUAAUAAAGACUCAGAAAUUGGUCAAACUUGGUCAUUUAGAGGAAGUAAAAGUCGUAACAAGGUUUCCGUAGGUGAACCUGCGGAAGGAUCAUUACAAAUCCAAACAAAUACCCGUUGAAAUGUUUUCGGCCUUGGGCAAAGCUAUCUUCAUGAUCCAGCUUGGAUUGCAUAAAUCUAACUGUGAAGUGAAGAAAGCAGUGCAAACGCGUUAUCGUGUUAAACCAAGGUACCGACCUACUAAAUACUUAUUCUGUUGACAUCACUAUAAAAUGUUUUCUUAUCGGAAACGACAAGGAUACAAUUUUAAACAAAUACAACUUUUAACAAUGGAUCUCUAGGCUCUUGCAACGAUGAAGAACGCAGCAAAAUGCGAAAUGUCGUGUGACAUGCAUUCCUCGUGAAUCAUCAAAUCUNNNNNNNNNNNNNNNNNNNNNNNNNNNNNNNNNNNNNNNNNNNNNNNNNNNNNNNNNNNNNNNNNNNNNNNNNNNNNNNNNNNNNNNNNNNNNNNNNNNNCUUUGAACGCACAUUGCACCUUCUGGCUCUGUCAGAAGGUAUACUUGUUUGAGUAUCGUAUAACCUUCUCUCUCGGAUCUCUUUUCGAAGCGAUCAUCAACGGGAGGACCUGAGAGUCUUGCCUCUUUUGAACUUCAUGUUCAAAAGAUCAGCGCUAGUCUCUUUAAAUUCAUGCCUGGCUAAGGUCUCUAGUCUCGGUUCAUAACUUGUUUCGGCGAGUUUCUGAACGGUCUAAUGGGAUAACAUCCAAUCAUUAGUCUACUAGAUCCCCUUGCUUAUGCAGGCAAUUGACCAUACCAGUAUGUUUACAGCAGUCAUGCUUAAAUUUACGGUAUAUCUUUAACUUUACCGAUCUCAAAUCAAGUAGGAUUACCCGCUGAACUUAAGCAUAUCAGUAAGCGGAGGAAAAGAAACUAACAAGGAUUCCCUUAGUAACGGCGAGUGAAGUGGGAAAAGCUCAAAUUUUAAAUCUGGCACCUUUGGUGUCCGAAUUGUAUUUGAUAGUGCUUUCUUGUGGCAAACAUGAUGGCUUAAGUCUCUUGGAAAAGGGCAUCAUAGAGGGUGACAAUCCCGUCUAGGUCAUUAUUGUGCGUCAAUAUCAAGGAGGCUCGACGAGUCAGGUUGCUUGGGAAUGCAGCCCAAAAUGGGAGGUACAUUUCUCCUAAAGCUAAAUAUUGGCAAGAGACCGAUAGCGAACAAGUACCGUGAGGGAAAGAUGAAAAGAACUUUGAAAAGAGAGUUAAACAGUACGUGAAAUUGUUAAAAGGGAAACGAUUGAGAUCAGUGAUGUUCCUUCCGUUUCAGCUUGACCGUUUACGGUCUGGCGUAUUACGGAAGGAACAGGUCGACUCCCAUUGUUAGGUCUGGAUAAGGCUUGCGGAAAUGUGGCUUCACCUUCGGGUGACGGCUUUAUAGUCCGCUUGAGAUACAGACUUGACGAUGGGCGAAAGGAACUACCUUUCCCGAGGACGGUAACCCGUUCAAGUCGAACC